UUCCAGAAUGAAGAGGAUGGCUUCACUUGACUCACAAAAGAGAACCAUGAGAGAUUCUAAAACAGAAUGCCAGACAUGUUUCAGGAAGACUAACCUGGUGGGGCAUGGGAGAUAAAUGGGGCAGGAGAAGAGAGACGGAAUGAAGGCAAGAGAACCAGGCCUCCAUUUCUCUUCCUGCACUUUGAAGACUCAAAGAAGGUCUGGUGAAGUAUUGAAGACUCAUGGAAGGUCUGGUGAAGUACAGAACAACAGGAAUAUGGGAGCCUAAAUCAGCUGUAACUCCAGGUAUUCCCCCUCCCCCAACGGAGCUGGUCCAGUUCUGCCACCAAUAAAGAACAAGCCAUGUCUGAAAAA